CAAUAGCGUAUAUUAAUGUUGUUGCAGUUAAAAAGCUCGUAGUUGAAUUUCUGGGUAGUCCACCUUGUCCGUCUAUGAUGUGUACAGGGAGGGGCUACUCAUCCUUCUGUUGAACCUUUCGGUCAUUCAGUUGUCCGGAUGUGGGAUCAGAUACUUUACUUUGAAAAAAUUAGAGUGUUUCAGGCAGGCAAUCGCUGGAAUACAUUAGCAUGGAAUAAUAAAAUAGGAUUUUGGUACUAUUUGUUGGUUUUUAGGACCAAAGUAAUGAUUAAUAGGGAUAGUUGGGGGCAUUAGUAUUUAAUUGUCAGAGGUGAAAUUCUUGGAUUUGUUAAAGACUAACUUAUGCGAAAGCAUUUGCCAAGGAUGUUUUCAUUAA
rnacentral:rRNA from 1 species